AUGGAGAGUCUUCUCCAUUGGGAUUUCUCUCCGGGGCUGGCGAUUCAAUCUCAGGUACCUGCCAAGUUUGGGUCCACGGUGCACUUCUCUCUGGCCAACCCUGGAUCCUCAAAGGAAUUCUUCCUUGUUGUCUCAUUCUCGUCGGCAUCAUUCAAGUUGACAGAGGAAUCAAUGGCCCUUGCGCUUCAAUCUUGCAUCGGUGGUAUCAGUGCGAGUUUUAGGGUUUUGCAACUCAGUGAUCACCGCUUCCGAUUCUCGGUAGCCUCAAAUCGUGUGGGUCAUUUUAUUUAUGGCCUUAAGGAUAGGAUUUGGCCGGAUUUCAUUUGUCAUUUUCACCUGUUUCAUGGAGUUCCUGAUCCAAGCUGUGUUUAG
rnacentral:rRNA from 1 species